rnacentral:tRNA from 1 species
GUUCUUUUAGUUGAAUGUUACAACAGUGGUUUUUCACGCCAUCGGUCUUGGUUGAAGUCCAGGUGAGAACU